rnacentral:rRNA from 1 species
UGCCAGCCGCCGCGGUAAUACGGAGGGUGCGAGCGUUAAUCGGAAUUACUGGGCGUAAAGCGCACGCAGGCGGUUUUAUAGGCUAGAUGUGAAAUCCCGGGGCUUAACCCCGGAACUGCAUUUAGAACUGUAAAACUAGAAUACGAGAGAGGGUGGUAGAAUUUCAGGUGUAGCGGUGAAAUGCGUAGAGAUCUGAAGGAAUACCGGUGGCGAAGGCGGCCACCUGGCUCGAUAUUGACGCUCAUGUGCGAAAGCGUGGGUAGCAAACAGGAUUAGAUA